UACGGAGGGGGCUAGCGUUGUUCGGAAUUACUGGGCGUAAAGCGCACGUAGGCGGAUCAGUCAGUUAGAGGUGAAAUCCCAGGGCUCAACCCUGGAACUGCCUUUAAUACUGCUGAUCUGGAGGUCGAGAGAGGUGAGUGGAAUUCCGAGUGUAGAGGUGAAAUUCUUAGAUAUUCGGAGGAACACCAGUGGCGAAGGCGGCUCACUGGCUCGAUACUGACGCUGAGGUGCGAAAGCGUUGGGAGCAAACAGG
rnacentral:rRNA from 1 species